rnacentral:misc_RNA from 1 species
AACGCACAUUGCGCCCAUUAGUAUUCUAGUGGGCAUGCCUGUUCGAGCGUCAUUACGACCCUCAAGCCUUAGUUGCUUGGUAUUGGGAGCUUACCCUGUAGUAACUCCUCAAAGUCAGUGGCAGAGCUGUGGAACACUCUAAGCGUAGUAAUUCUUCUCGCUUCUGUAGUGGCCUCGGCGAUCGCCAUAAACCUAUUAUUUUUAAAGGUUGACCUCGGAUCAGGUAGGAAUACCCGCUGAACUUAA